rnacentral:rRNA from 1 species
UACAGAGGUCUCAAGCGUUGUUCGGAUUCAUUGGGCGUAAAGGGUGUGUAGGUGGCGCGCUAAGUCGGGUGUGAAAUUUCGGAGCUUAACUCCGAAACUGCAUUCGAUACUGGCGUGCUUGAGGACUGGAGAGGAGACUGGAAUUCAUGGUGUAGCGGUGAAAUGCGUAGAUAUCUGGAGGAAUACCGGUGGCGAAGGCGGCAUCCUGGACCGGCAUUGACGCUGAACGGCGAAAGCUAGGGGAGCGAAACA